rnacentral:rRNA from 1 species
GAAAGGUUUGGUCCUAGCCUUAUUAUCAAUUUUUUCUUAAAUUACACAUGCAAGUCUCAGCACACCCGUGAGGACACCCUUAAACCCUUAACCAGACUAAGGAGCCGGCAUCAGGCACAACAUUUGCCCACAACGCCUAGUCCCACCACGCCCCCAAGGGCAUUCAGCAGUGAUAGAUAUUGCUAAUAAGCGACAGCUUGACCCAGUUAAAGAAAAUAGAGCCGGCCAACUCGGUGCCAGCCGCCGCGGCUAAACCGCAUGGGCUCAAACUGAUAGUUACCGGCGUUAAGCGUGAUUAAAGUUUUCCCCCAAAUUAGAGUGAAACCUAUACUUASCCGUGAAAAGCUUGAACUAGAGAAAAUCAUAAACGAAAGUUACUCUAAUUAAUCACUUGAAUACACGACAGCUAG